AUGUACGAUGUAUAUUUUAUAUAUACAUGCGCGCGUACGCGCAACGUUGCCCAGCUCUCACGAUCGUGGACGUUGGUGAAUAGGCGCAUGGAAAAUGCGCUUGCAUAGAGCGCUAUAGCAUGUCUAUGCAAUAUGCAAGCGCAGCCUCCUUGAGAGCUAUACGAUGAGGCCGGCCUAGCUCGCGCCCUAACUGCAAGACCGUUUCGGCAGACAAUAGCAGCGAGUGCAAUGUGGCGCCCGAAGGACGCUGCUGGUGGCAUCGUAGUCUGGUGAUUAUCGGGAUCGACCCACCUCUUAAUCAAGAGGUGUUACUCUAACGGCCCUACACCAGAGCAGAGUACCGCGUGCGGAGCCGGCUCCGACCAGCCUUACGCUGCAUUCCCCGCCGAACCCCGAUUUUUUACAAUUAAACAACUAAUUACAUCUACCUGGCUACGUCGGGUCGAAGGUCGGGCGUGUGCUGUGCCCUCGCGAUAGCCUAACACCCUCUUCCCUCGCACAGGUGGGGUGUCGUGAGAUGGUGACACCGGAAAAUUGGUCAAGUUGGGAUCGAUCACCGAGCCCGCCUGCUUUUGCAAGAACAAGUAUUGACUGCAAAAUUUAUCUGUUCUUGCAGAAGCAAGCGAGCCCGAGAACCAAGUCCCGAAUGCCCACCUGCACUGAGUGCUUUCCCUAACUAGUUCGAGACUCCAGACACUCAAGAGUGAAUGUCGAGUCCCUUGCAUACAAACGGUCGAGCAAAUGCACAAGACAUUUGCUCGACUAUUUGUAUACUUAAUAAUAUGUACUCCCAGAGGGAGGUACUUACCCAUGUUUCCGCGAUGUACUGGUCCUGGUCCGCCGCCGCCGCCGAUGUCCACCUGGUACUGGUCCUCGAUGAUGAUGAUGAUGAUGAUGUUGAUGGUCCGCUGCUGUUGCUUGUCACUGCACUACACUUCAAUUAACUUCACACGGGGAUAUAAGUGGGAUGCAAUAGGAAUUAGAGGUAUAUUUUAAGUCGCCUCGUCUCGACUCAGGGAAAGGUACGGGAAUUGUAAAAGGGGUUUAACUUGUAACGCGCUGCCCCAUACUCAGCGCGGUGUGCAACUACGGCACACAGACGUGAAGAACUUUAAUUUAUAUGGCGCAGGUACUCGCUCUGCGCUGCAAACGGAUGCACUAACUCCAGAGAAGUUUAAUUUAUAUAGCGCAGCUCCUUGCUCUGCGCUGCAAACAUCCCCACGAAACCCCGUAGAACUUUAAUUUAUAUAGCGCAGGUUCUCGCUCUGCGCUUCAAACACAUCCAGAGAAGUUUAAUUUAUAUAGCGCAUUUCCUCAGCAUUAUAAAGGAAGGCAUUCCGUGCUUUUACAGUUAUAUCGUGGUGCGAGCGGUUUUGCCGUGAUGACCAGCCGUUUUUCCGUGGUAACAAGCGAUUUUACCGUGGUGACCUGCGGUUUGCCGUGGUGACCUGCGGUUUGCCGUGGUAACCAGCGAUUUUACCGUGGUGACCUGCGGUUUGCCGUGGUGACCUGCGAUUUUACCGUGGUGACCUGCGGUUUGCCGUGGUGACCUGCGGUUUUGCCGUGGUGACCUGCGGUUUACCGUGGUGACCAGUGGUUUUGCCGUGGUUUGCCGUGGUGACCUGCGGUUUACCGUGAUGACCAGUAGUUUUGCCGUGGUGACCUGCGAUUUGCCGUGUUAACCAGCGAUUUUACCGUGAUGACCUGCGGUUUGCCGUGGUGACCUGCGAUUUUACCGUGGUGACCUGCGGUUUGCCGUGGUGACCUGCGGUUUUGCCGUGGUGACCUGCGGUUUACCGUGCUAACCAGUGGUUUUGCCGUGGUUUGCCGUGGUGACCUGCGGUUUGCCGUGGUGACCUGCGAUUUUACCGUGGUGACCUGCGGUUUUGCCGUGGUGACCUGCGGUUUGCCGUGGUGACCAACGAUUCUGCUAUAAAUACGGCCGCGCUCAACGCUACCGAUCAUUCGUUCGCCGACCGCCACAUGAACAUCAUAGGAGUAACAAGUCAGCAGUCCACGUCACUCCAGGCUUCAGGAUAUCCAGGGUCGCUCGAGACCGUCUACCGCUCAUAGGGACUUUGGCUUCCUGGUCACCAGGGUGUUAGGAUCUACAAGGUCAUCCGGUCUCAAGGCUCUACAAGGCCAUCCGGUCUCAAGGCUCUACAAGGCUACAUCCGGUCUCAAGGCUUCCAGGGUCAUCCACAUCCACGGAAACAGUAAUUUGAAGGUAGCUCAUCGUUGUCUACGCUCUCGCGAUGAAAUCAACAGCAAAUCGUCCUAAACGACGAUCACAACGGCGAAAUAGAAAAAUACGGCGUCUUUUUGAUCGUCUUAAGGAGAAUCCUCGGUCGAGCGACGAUUCUCAGAUUGUGCAGGUGCGAAGAAACAGUAAAUUCGUAGUUCCCCAGCCCACAUCUGCUUUACCAUCCCCGGCCGACUUGGGAUUAGUUCUUUCAGGCGAAGAACGUUUGAAAUUCCCAAAAAGUCCGACGCCCGAGUCAGCCGCGCCCAACCGAGAGAAUCCCUCGCGACCGCCAGCCAAGUCGGAGGCAGCCCUCGGUGGAGGUGUACGGAUUCCCACAAAACCAAAACUGUUUGUGCCACCUUUGCGGCCCGUGCUAGCUGAAAAAAGUCCAUUCCAACGACUUUCCAACGACCGUCUGAAAAAGUAAUCAACGACACUCAUUGCAAUUAAUUACGGAAAAAUAAAUCAAUCGGCUCUUUUUAGGGCCAACAAACAAUAACGUAGCAUACGAAACGUCCCUUGUCCUCUGUACAAAUUAAAAAUGGCCGAUUUUUUUGCAUUCGAAUAUGUCAGAUUCGAUUGGAUUUUUUCUUUCCGCGUAUGCAAGUAAAUAUUUUAAUUCAUUACUUAUACUCAUUAUGAAACAGAUAAACGAUGGCCGGAAGAGGCAAGCAAUGGCCAAGAAAUUAUCUAAAUCAGAACCAACAACCUUUCUACGUAGAAAAUGACGACGAUGAUGAUUACGUUGAUGAUGAUGAUGAUUACGAGAAUGAGAAGGUUACUCUCGCAGGGCUGCUAACAGAGAUGAGUGACAUAGAUAAAGAUAUGGAGGUGCUUGUUGAAAAAAAGAAGGCAAUAGUAGAUAAAAUGAAAAGGAUAAUCAGUACUGAAAAAGAUCAAACCAGUUCCCAUCCGCAGACUUUAUAUCGCCCUCCACCAUCAUCAUUCUCCAAUAAUAGUAAAAGAAUAAAGAAUCAAUCUCGCGCUGUACUUCCGUUUACGGCAACAUCAUCUGCUGUGGGUUCAAAUAAUAAUUCGAAUAGGCAGUUACCGCUUCAACAGAGUUAUUCGUAUAACGACGAACAGCGACAUCGUCAAAUGCUUCCCUUUGAGGAUCAAAAACUACAAAAACAACAGCUCCAGCAGCUAAAUUAUUAUCAGCAACUUCAGCAGCAACAAUUAUUAAUGACCAUGACGAUGAACAAUAAUGUCAAAUUAGGGAUGUCAAGUUCCGUCCUUUCUGAGUCCAACCCGUCUACCUUUAUUUCUUCUACACAGCAUCCUCAUGAGCUCCUUCAGCAACAGCAGCAGCAGCAGCAGCUGCAAUCCGAGAAUUUGAUGCGAUAUAUAAAAAAAAGAAGUCAGCAUUAUCCAAUUGAUCAGAUGGAAUCCACAUCCCUAUCGAAUAAUGUGUUGUUAUCGAACAACGAACAAGGGCAAACUAAUAAAGAUAAUACAAUAAGGCCAUUCGAUGAAAAGCGACGACGACAUGAUAUCAGCUUGCAAAAUAAUGAUAGUUUUGUUAACAAGUACAAUUAUAAUUUUGAUGACUUUAACGAUGAUGACGAUAAUUGUGAUGAUAAUGGUCACGAGGCUCAACAAUAUGAUAAUGAAUCAGAUGAAAACAAUGAAGAUGCGAAUAACACUGCUCAGAAGGAUCAAGACGACGCCGCUCAGCCUCAGGCAAAAUCUACUAAAAAACCUACCAAUUUAACGGUUACUCGCCGUAUGUUUACGCGAUCAGAAGUGGAAACACUUAUAAAGAGAACGUUUAAAAACUAUCAAUCAAAAGGCGUCUUUUACUCAGAAGAUUUAAAUUUACCGGAUAAAAGUACUAUGUCGUGUCGAAAGCGCGCCGGAAAAUCAAUCCAAAAAAUGAAUCCUGAUGAAUUAAAAACUUUGUUAAAAUGUACGAUGCCGGAAGCUCAGGAAUUUGCUGACUUUGUUAACAAUAUGAGAUUUAAAAAAGAUGCAGUGGAUGCUAACGAAGAUAAUAAUAAUUUACAUUUUUUUCAACUGGAAGACCAUACCGAUGCACGCAUAAGAAGGUGUACAGCGGAUUUUGAUUCUAUCGUCGUUGUCGGACGCAGUAUCGAUGUAUUCAAGAUAAGGAAAAAAUUCGAUUUGAGUACGGGAAAAAAUGUCGUAAGAAUAUCUGAUCAAAAGAAAACAACGUGUCUUCUUGAUCCUGCAAAUGAAAAAUUGUGGUUUGAGUUUAAAUUGGGAGGAUACAUGAAUAACUCGAUCAAUGUAUUGUUUUCUAUUAAGAGGAAUUAUUUCCAAAAAAUAACAAAAAUGGCUAACGAACACGAGGAAGAAGAAAGUAACGACGGCGGAGUCACUCGACCCAUUUUCUCAUUUUUUUUUGAAGAAAUUGUUAAAAAGGCUUCUAAACGUUUGCCUGAAAAUUGUCGAACAUUGCGUUAUAGUAAUAUCACAAAUUUUACUCUUCACGACAGCACUAAAAUGCCGUCUGUGUACUCGGAAGAUUGGGGGUCCUUCUGCAAAUCAAUAGAUACGUUAUUGCACGACAGCGAAAAUAUUAAAACUAUGGAAAACCGGUGACACAUAUGCGACCUUUUUUUCAUGCGAUAUGCGCAUGGGCUUAAGUUAUCCGAUUCGGAGAGAUGCCCAAAUUUCGUACGCUUCAUGACGGAGGACAUGGACGUUGACUUAAUGUCUGGCAAUGCUGAAGUAGUUCAAAUUCAUAUAGCCAACACGAUCGAGCCAAUGGACGAUUACGCUGUUGUCAUUGACUAUUCCAAGCUGGGUCACGAUGUUUUUAAAAAGGCAAAGGAUGCAUGUCGUUACAGAUCCAUGUUUCUACACGACUACGGUCAUGUAACUUCCAGGCUAUGCUCAUCUUCCGCGUUGUGGGACAACGUCACCUAUGUACAGGCAUACCUACCCGAAAUUCACGCUUACAUGUGUCGGCUUCGGAAAAGAUGGGGCAGCGUGACAGGAUACGUAGUGGCCGGAGGCUACAGUUGUUUUUUGAAUACGCUUCCAUUACACAAAAAUAUGAAACGAUUAGUAUCCGAUGCAAAAGGUCGAAUGGCAGAUUAUAAAACUGGUUUCGAGGUACUGAGAACGUCAGCUUCCUUGAGAAUAGAAGAAGUAAGGACUUUUCAAGGUUCAACGUGUUUAAAGAACGCACAAAAUUCUUUUGAGAACGUAGGCUUCUUGACCAGCAGCGCUAAGAAAUUCUUCGAAUGCGGUUCCGUGUGCGUAGCUAGCAACUGGACUAGAUAUAUGACUUGGCGUAUCCAGGGAGAUUUGGAUUUUCUAGUUAAGUGUUACGAUCUAGUUAAUGCAACGGCAGGGAAUUCGCUAACACGAGCAACCAUAGAAGAGUGUUACGAUUCCGAACUGCGUUUACGUUAUUUUUUAUAUGGGCGUUGGCCUAAUUGUCCCGAUGCCCGUAUUACUUGGUUGCUGAAUAGUCCAAGGGAAGGAUUCAGAGGUGCAAAUGUUGAAGAAGGCACGUAUGUAUUUAGGCGACAGACUGCUGGUGAAAUGCUCAAGCUAAGCGAGCGACGACAGUUACGGCAACCUCCCAUCACCUUUAAGGAUGAGUUUUUCGGAUGGCCAUUUAUGAAGGUGGCGAUUGUUGAAAUGACGCAGUACUAUCCCGAAGAGGAAACAGACUUGGACAAGCAAGCCAAUCAAACGUUGGAUUUAAAAAUUCAUUUUUUGAUGACAAGGCUUAUCGGAUUUUCCCGAUUGAAUCACGGUUUCUCCGAUUAUACUUUUCGUUUUGUCGAACAUGCUUUUUCUAGACGAGCUAUACAAACCAUGAUAUUAAAACAAGGCAAAGAUCAGAUGGAAAAAGCUUACAUAAGUGGUGUUGUUCCAGUGUCGACUCUUGUUAAGAGUAUAUUGAAUCCCAAUACAAAAA